UACGGGGGGGGUAAGCGUUGUCCGGAAUUAUUGGGCGUAAAGAGCGUGUAGGCGGCCCGGUUAGUCCGCUGUGAAAGUCCAGGGCUCAACUGGGGAGGGUCACGCGAUACUGUUCGACUUGAAGGCAGGAGAGGGAAGUGGAAUUCCCGGUGUAGUGGUGAAAUGCGUAGAUAUCGGGAGGAACACCAGUGGCGAAGGCGACUUCCUGGCCUGUUCUUGACGCUGAGGCGCGAAAGCUAGGGUAGCAAACGGG
rnacentral:rRNA from 1 species